rnacentral:rRNA from 1 species
UACGUAGGGCGCAAGCGUUGUCCGGAAUCAUUGGGCGUAAAGCGCGUGUAGGCGGCCGAGUAAGUCUGCUGUGAAAGUCCAGGGCUCAACCCUGGGAUGCCGCAGAUACUGCUUGGCUAGAGUACGGGAGGGGCGAGUGGAAUUCCUGGUGUAGCGGUGGAAUGCGCAGAUAUCAGGAGGAACACCAAUGGCGAAGGCAGCUCGCUGGGACGUGACUGACGCUGAGACGCGAAAGCGUGGGGAGCAAACAGG